ACGAACGCUGGCGGCGUGCCUAAUACAUGCAAGUCGAACGCUUCUUUUUCCACCGGAGCUUGCUCCACCGGAAAAAGAGGAGUGGCGAACGGGUGAGUAACACGUGGGUAACCUGCCCAUCAGAAGGGGAUAACACUUGGAAACAGGUGCUAAUACCGUAUAACAAUCGAAACCGCAUGGUUUUGAUUUGAAAGGCGCUUUCGGGUGUCGCUGAUGGAUGGACCCGCGGUGCAUUAGCUAGUUGGUGAGGUAACGGCUCACCAAGGCGACGAUGCAUAGCCGACCUGAGAGGGUGAUCGGCCACAUUGGGACUGAGACACGGCCCAAACUCCUACGGGAGGCAGCAGUAGGGAAUCUUCGGCAAUGGACGAAAGUCUGACCGAGCAACGCCGCGUGAGUGAAGAAGGUUUUCGGAUCGUAAAACUCUGUUGUUAGAGAAGAACAAGGAUGAGAGUAACUGUUCAUCCCUUGACGGUAUCUAACCAGAAAGCCACGGCUAACUACGUGCCAGCAGCCGCGGUAAUACGUAGGUGGCAAGCGUUGUCCGGAUUUAUUGGGCGUAAAGCGAGCGCAGGCGGUUUCUUAAGUCUGAUGUGAAAGCCCCCGGCUCAACCGGGGAGGGUCAUUGGAAACUGGGAGACUUGAGUGCAGAAGAGGAGAGUGGAAUUCCAUGUGUAGCGGUGAAAUGCGUAGAUAUAUGGAGGAACACCAGUGGCGAAGGCGGCUCUCUGGUCUGUAACUGACGCUGAGGCUCGAAAGCGUGGGGAGCAAACAGGAUUAGAUACCCUGGUAGUCCACGCCGUAAACGAUGAGUGCUAAGUGUUGGAGGGUUUCCGCCCUUCAGUGCUGCAGCUAACGCAUUAAGCACUCCGCCUGGGGAGUACGACCGCAAGGUUGAAACUCAAAGGAAUUGACGGGGGCCCGCACAAGCGGUGGAGCAUGUGGUUUAAUUCGAAGCAACGCGAAGAACCUUACCAGGUCUUGACAUCCUUUGACCACUCUAGAGAUAGAGCUUCCCCUUCGGGGGCAAAGUGACAGGUGGUGCAUGGUUGUCGUCAGCUCGUGUCGUGAGAUGUUGGGUUAAGUCCCGCAACGAGCGCAACCCUUAUUGUUAGUUGCCAUCAUUUAGCUGGGCACUCUAGCAAGACUGCCGGUGACAAACCGGAGGAAGGUGGGGAUGACGUCAAAUCAUCAUGCCCCUUAUGACCUGGGCUACACACGUGCUACAAUGGGAAGUACAACGAGUCGCAAAGUCGCGAGGCUAAGCUAAUCUCUUAAAGCUUCUCUCAGUUCGGAUUGUAGGCUGCAACUCGCCUACAUGAAGCCGGAAUCGCUAGUAAUCGCGGAUCAGCACGCCGCGGUGAAUACGUUCCCGGGCCUUGUACACACCGCCCGUCACACCACGAGAGUUUGUAACACCCGAAGUCGGUGAGGUAACCUUUUGGAGCCAGCCGCCUAAGGUGGGAUAGAUGAUUGGGGUG
rnacentral:rRNA from 1 species